rnacentral:rRNA from 1 species
ACAGUUAUAAUUUAUUUGAUAAUCGAAAGUUACAUGGAUAACCGUGACAAAUUACAGCUAAUACAUGCAGUCAGACCUGGUCCAAGGGUCGUAAUUAUUAGUACCAAACCAAUUCCGCAAGGAAUGUGAUGAAUCAUAGUAAUCGAACGAAUCGCAGGUAUAUGCGAUAAAUCAUUCAAGUUUCUGCCCUAUCAGCUUUGGGUGGUAGUGUAUUGGACUACCAUGGCAGUCACGGGUAACGGAGAAUUAGGGUUCGAUUCCGGAGAGGGAGCCUGAGAAACGGCUACCACAUCUACGGAAGGCAGCAGGCGCGCAAAUUGCCCAAUCCCGACUCGGGGAGGCAGUGACAAGAAAUAACAACUCUAGGUUUUCUUAGAAGUGUAAUGAGGAUAAUUUACAAACCUUACCGAAUGCAAUU